ensembl:lncRNA
UGUUUUUCUUUGGAGUGAAUUGUUGUUUUUCUUUCGUGUGGAUUUGCUGUGUUUGUAUUUGGAAAGCAGUUUCCCAUAGCCACACCUCUAUUCCUGAUAGAUUAAUGAACUAAUAAGUGAUGGAUGUUGGGGCGGAGCGGUUAAUAUGUUCCCUUAUAAAAAGACGUAAUAGUGACUGACAGAGAUGGGUGGUGGCAGCAUCGUGUAUUCGUAACCGAAGUCAACACAGUGCGUGAGAAAUCACGUGGUGUCUGUAUCAGAGCGUGAGUGUUUGUGGUUCACUCUCACUCAUGUUGAGACGGCUUGUGGCUACGAGAGACUGUAGCACACUGUAGACGAGGACCAUAAAGUCGACGAUUCGCGGAACACUGCUGGAGUAGCAGCAUAUGAGACAGGCUGAGGGCCGGCUGCGAGGGACUAUCGUGAGUGUUGGGAGACGAUAAGAAAACGACGUGGCUCUUCUGCCGUGAACACAUUGGACUGGAUAGCAGGGUUGCUGUCCAGUCAUGCACAUCGGGCUGAUACUGAUCUCUAUGUGUGACUGAGUGUUAACGGAUAGCCGCUGUAAUACCGAGGUCUAGUAGAGACUGAGUUAAACCCUGCCCUUGAGCUGAAGAUCUGGACUUUGGACUUGCUUGUUGUUUUAUAAAUUUGAUGUUUCUCUUGCAACUAAUUUUAUUGUAAUAAACUGUUCUUCUACUGAGCAUUCCUGGGUGUUGGUUUCCACUGUUCCCUCCUCCGAUAAAGAACCUGUGUUUAAUAUUGGGUUCCUGGGGUCUCAGUUUCUACUCUAGGUGGCGUAGUCGGCUACAAAAGUUAAAUAUAUGUUAUAUACACAUUUGGCCACUGACAUAAUUUGGCGCAGUCGGCAGGAUUCAGAUACGGGAACGGUGGAACAGCACUUGAUAGAAUAUUAAAAAAAAAAUAUAUAAUAAUGAUGAUGCCAGUGUUUCCUGGUGCCCCUUGGGUGCCCAAGUUUACGGGUGCUGAUUGUGAUUUGAAGUAUGGAGAUUGGAAAGAACAAAUGCAAGGGCUUUUAGAAGCACAAGAAGUACCUGAAGCAAAGAAAGUUAAAAUUGUAAUGGGUGGUGAUGCAAAGCGGGAAAUAAGCGUUUUGGCUGAUGGAGAUAGGGAUAAAGCCAAUACGAUUUUUGAGCAUUUAGACACUUUGUAUGCUGGAGAAAUACCUCUUCCUGUCCUUAGGUCACAUUUUUUAGUUGCAGACAGAGACAAGAUGAAUCUUUUAAGAUGUUUGUGUUGCGAUUACGAGAACUCUAUUGUAGGUUGCGGCGACGUAGUCCAGAAGGGGCCCUUGUUGAAGAUCAACAAGGUGGGCCUGGUAGGGUUGAUUCUCGCUUACAGGAGACUGACUGGAAAGCUGAAUUAAAGCGAGAAAUUCUGGAGGAAGUUAAAGGACAGAUGCGAGAUCUGACACAGGAAAUGAUGAAGGAGCUAAAGUCAUCUAGCCCAGUGGCACAAUUAAAUCAUGCACAACCUAAUUAUGUACCUUUCCAGCCACAAACUGUUUCUUCUAGGCGACAAAGGGGGCAGUCUUCCUUGAAUAUGUGGGAUGCAGAGGGGAGGCCGAUCUGCCGGCACUGUCAACAGUCAGGACAUAUAGCAAGGUAUUGCAAGGAAAGUGUGCUGCCUAAUGGAGAUUUAAACUAAUUUGCCCUGCUGCAGAGGUCCAGGCGGUGGGGCCAGUAAGAGUAUCAGAAAAUUCAAGGACCAUUUCUUCUUUCAUUGGUGGCUGUCCGAUGGUGAGUGUUAUGAUUCAGAACAUUAAGUGUACAGGACUGUUGGACACCGGCUCUCAAGUCACGCUGAUGCAACAGAGUAUGUUUGAGGAGAAGUUCCCUCAGUAUAAGUUGGGCCAAGCCCCUGUUUUGAUUUUAAGAGCUGCAAAUGGCCUAGAAAUCCCCUAUAUUGGAUAUGCUUCGUUUGAUUUUAAUGUUGCUGGAGUUCAAGUUUCAGAGCGGGGUGUUGUCAUUGUAAAAGACGAAUUUUCUACAAACCCUUUAAUAAUUGGUAUGAACGUAAUUUCACAAUGUUGGAGUGCUCUCUUUCAGAAUGAGGUGCAGUCUUCAUCUUUGUUCCAGAGUACCAGAGAACGACAAGCAUGGCAGCAGGUCAUGGCAGUUUGUCAGCGUGUUGCAGCAUGCACUCACGAAGAUGGGUUACUGGGCAAUGUGUGGUUGGCUAACAGACGAGGUGUACGUGUUCCACCAAGGAGUGAAGUUAUGGUCUGGGGACGUGCUCGAAUGGGUCUGCGACAGCGUGAUUACUGUGGACUUGUGGAGCCUGUGUCUGAACAACCUGUGGCUGCUGCACGAACAAUUGCCAUGGUAAGGGGUGGUAGAAUCCCUGUGAGACUCUGUAAUAUACAUCCAUACAGUGUUUUCGUAGGAAAAUAUCAGAAGCUUGGACGGCUAUAUGAAAUCAAUAGCUCUGAUAUUCAUGGCUGCAGGGACCUUGGAUUAACCUUGAAUACUGAAGGCAUUGUGGAGGUGAGGCUUACUGAAGCUAGCCUCCUCGUAGAAGAUGCAGUUUCCCCUGAUAUA